AGUGGUUCUCAGGUGAUGCACCCUGGAAUCAGAGAGGAGGGAGCCCGAUUCUGGGGUGCGUCACCCAAGAACCGCC
rfam:Myotis davidii contig221122, whole genome shotgun sequence.